AAUUAAAUUAAUUAAAAUUAAAUUAAUUUAUCUUAUCAAUUUUAGAUAAAAUUGAUUAUCUAAAAUACCAACUUAGUCUGCAGCUAAAAACUAGCUAAACUAAGGUUGGUUGGUUGGUUUAACUAACUAUAACCUUCUGUGUCUCACUUUUCCUCAAACUUAUUGCGAUAAAACAUCCGUCUACGUUCAGUAAACCAUCUCUGAUAAUAGCAGCUUAGAACAUCACUUCAAUAAAAUCCAGAUUGUCACUUUAAAUGGCACAUGGCUACUGUUGCUAAGCUAAUGUUGUAUUGAACUAAAACAACUAGAAUAGACAUCGGUGUUUAUAUAAAAAUGUUGCUAAAUGCUGAGCUUUUCUUCUGGUAAAACCUGAAAGAAGCGUCUUUAACGGUGGCUCAUUUAAUAAAACCUCAUGAUGCAGUGAAACAGGAAGUGGGCUGUUGGUGUUCGAAGCUCCAGCUCCUAACGGGACCAUGGACCUGCUGACUGUUAACUGUCUCCAACUGCAGUCCACUCAUGUUCAGGGGACGGUCGCCCCUUUCUCUUUCUCUAUUAAAUAUCUUGUUUAACUUUGCUGGAGUGUUCUUUGUAAAUGUAUACAGUGGGCACACGUGGACACUCUCCUGCAUUUGUUUACAGCGCACUAACAUGCAGACGUACUGUGGUGUUGAAGAACGUCUUUCUGAGUGCUUCUUUUGGUCUCGCUUGUCAUUUCAGAACACAAUUACCAACAGUGUGAAAGUGAGAACUUUAGCAGUCACACACAUUCACACAUGUACAGACUAAAGGCUUUCUUCAUCGUUAAUAUUUACAUUAUUGUCAGAUGGUUUACUUCCUGGUUUUAAAGACUCCAUUAGGGGGCCUUAGAAGUCCACUUAAGAGGUCCAUGAAAAAGAGGCCUGUAACUCCAGAUUUCUGGUUGGUUUAUCUUAUAAAGUGAUUUCCAAAUACAUGAAAAUGCUCAAGCUGCCUCCCCCAACUUCCUUUAUGUUGGUCAACCUCAACCUGCUCUGUAUCAGUGGCCAUCUGUGAAUCAUGCUCCACUCAAUUCAGUUGCGCACAGCAAGAAAAUCUGUUUAGGAUGGACAUUUGAUCAAAUCUGGAGUUUGCAUCUGCUCUGGUGACGUCCCACAUCUCCCACAUGACCCCGUCAGCAUCAGCAUCUGGCAUUAAUAGGGAGCUAAUGAGUCUCCUCUCUUCCUCGUUGGGUCGUUUAUCUCCUGUAGCUUCCUAUUGUCUCUGCUGGGAAUGAGGGUAAAAACAAUUAUGACUGGACAGACGGCCUUAAACCUGCCGCAAACCAUUCACAAAAAUGGGAAUUUGUAGAAAAGGUGUUGAGAUGAAAAUGACUCCAAUAGAGUCAAAUUCUAAUUGGAUUUACAAACUUUUUCCUUUGGAAAUUGGUAACAAAACAAACAAAGUUAAAAUAAAAACUUUUGAUAUUCAAAGGGAAUACACUGGCUCCACUGACAAAGGUUUGCAAUUAUAAACACUGUUUCAAUGUUUUAUGGAAACGUGAACAACCAUCUGGUGAAAAAGAUGAACAAAUUAACAAAUAUGUAGAAGGAUAGACUGAUCAAUUGGUAGAAAUAUGACUGAACAUAGAUGAUAGAAUGGAUGCAAAAAGUCUGAAAAUAUAAAUAUGGAUGAAGGAUGUACAGUGAUUCAGCAAAUAAAGUUUAAAGAUGCUAACAUAUUUCCAGACUCUUUAGGAACUCUGAUUAUUUCCAUCUCUCACCUUUAAAUCUAUAUUUUUCUCUUUAUAUACAUUACAGUUUCUCUUGAUUUACUAUUCCAGAAGAAAUAAAACCAAAUUCAAACAGCAUUUUCACAGCAGACUGCGACAUUUAAAUUACCACGGGAAAAAGGAGCAUAAUUGGAACUAAUAACAUCAACAAUUGCUCCACUUCAGCAGUAAAGAUAAUGCAGUUAAAAUCCCAUGAAACAACAGUGUGGAUAGUCUAAAUGGUUUCUCUUUUCUUUCCUACUCACACGUGUUAAAAUGACUUGAAGAUGGGAAAUGGAAAUGAGUUUCCCCAGGCUCAGAGCACUUCCUAUGCAACCAACUGGUGGAACGUUAAUAGUAAAUACCUGUUUAUAUCAAUACAGCAGAGACAUUACAUGUGAAAUAAAGCAGUUAAUAUGUUGUUUCUCCAGUUACUGCCACUGGUAAAAUUAAACUGUCAAAACAAUAAUAGCAAUUAUUUGGGCUAUCAUAAGAGAAAACGAAUGGGGGUUAAUUUUUCAAUCAUAUUUUCACCAUUUAGUUAUUCAGUCAUUUAUAAAUGUCAGUUUCAAACUAAAUUUUUAAUUAGCAAGCUAAGGAUUCAGUUUAUGCUAGCUAUGUACAAACUACAUAUCUAGCUCCAAACUAAAUAUUAAGUUGGCCAGCUAAAUAGUUAGCUCCAAACUAAAUAUGUUAGCCAGCUACAUAUCUAGCCCCAAACUAAAUAUUAAGUUGGCCAGCUAAAUAGUUAGCUCCAAACUAAAUAUGUUAGCCAGCUACAUAUCUAGCCCCAAACUAAACAUUAAGUUAGCAAGCUAAAUAGUUAGCCACAAACUAAAUAGUAAGCUAGCAAACUGCUUAGUUAGCUUCAAACAAUAUUAGUUUGGAGCUACAUAUUUCGUUUUCACGAUAUGAAAUUCAGCCAGCUAAUUAAAUAUUACUUUGAAUAUGAAUGAAUAACGUGGUGAAAUUAACUGAAAAGUGAACCGCCAUUUUUUUCUCUUACUACAGACUGAAUAAUCUGAAUUAUUGCUUCUCUGACUAUAACAGCACCCUAUAGAUGACCUGAGAAGAGAUGUACCCCAAAAUAACGAGGUACUGUUCACAUCGAAACAUGGAGCUAUACUGGUCUGCAGCACAAAUUAUAGCACUGAAGUUUAUUUUAUCAACAAAAAGCAGAUAUUGUUUGGACUUCCGGUACUUUGAGACGUCUGGACUUUUCAGCCAGCUGCAGUACUUCCAGUGAACUGUAAUUGUAUCUGUGCAAAAAUAUAAACUGUAAACUCAACCACUAACAAGCUAUGGUACAAAAUCUGUGAACUAGCUACUCAAAUUUAUGCCAAACCCUUUCCAGAGCUUACACUUCAAGACUCUGCCCAUGCAUGGCUGUGCUACUAUUACACCACAAGUUAUUUUGACAGAAAACGGAUCUCUUGCUCACACAACACACCUCCACUUCAAUACACAUCACAAUGUCAUCUGCAAACAUCAUUUCCUCUGUCAACCUUUCCAAACAAUAUUCCAAACAGACUUAAAUACCAAGAGAAAUUGUACAAUUAGAUGAGUCUGUCAUUUUGUCCCUGAACAAAUCUGCUCAGCAAAUUCUUACCCACUCUUUGCUAUUUACUCGUUCCUACCUCCUUUUCACAAUUGUCAGUAAACAAUUUCGUUCCCAUGUCAGAUCUUGUGUGCAUUUUAAGUUUUUGAAAUCCACUUUUAAUCCGUGUUGGCCAGAUUAUCCUUCUGAAAUAAGAGACUUCACACCAGAUCAAAAUAAUUUUGAGUAGUCAAAGUGGGUAACAGAAUAUUCCUAAACUAGGCAGGAACUGACGAAUAGUCGGCACGAAAUGACAAAUGUGCAAAGGUUUGACAUGGCAACGGAGCAAAAUGUUCAAAUUAAACCAACCUUAACACAGGGUUUCUAUGCUAGCAGCCCUAUGAAAUGGAUUUCCAGGACUAAUAUUUACUUUUCUCUGAAAGGCAGUGAUCUCCCUGGCAACCAUGGGUAACCCUGGUUGUUGGUUAAACGGCUUGUUUUAGUUUCAAUCCUGAUGGACAGACACCGUCAAUCAGUUUUACAACAUGCCAGGCAUGAAGAAAUAUCCCCCAAAUAGUCUCAUCUUCAGUUCAGCUGCAGGGGUAAACCGCUCUUUGCACUAGAGAUGAAAGGUUUAGAUUAUUUUUAAUCAUGGCACUGAGUCAUGUACCUUAAUACUGAUCGGAGCCUGAAGCAUCCAUCUAUCACCAAACUCAACGCAGCCUGAUCUUUUGGGAUGAUUUAACCUCGUUAGUGGAUCUCUAAUUUUUUAACAUCAUUUAUCCGGCUGACUUCCUUCUCUCCAAGCACUUGUCUCUUGAUAAUUGUAUAAAAUCAGCUCCUGUCUAGGCUGAAAGCAAAACUCAAAAGAUACUCCCUCCGUAACGCUUCACUUUGUCACAAUCCUUUCUACCUCACUUUUGGAAACAUUUACAUGGUGGUUUUUAAACAUUCCUAAAACAGUCGUUUGUGUGUCCACUAGACUCGGUUCGAUUAAGGACCAAAACUGCAACAUUUGUUACAUUUUCAGCUGCUGCGGUUCGCUUUCACACUGUAAUGUAAAACAAACCAAAUACUUUGGAAAACCUGUUCCUACCCUCUCCUGUGGUGGCGCUGCACCAAGAACUCCUCAAGAAAACAACAGGGAAACCUCUGAAGAAGACACAGAGCUUCCUUCUCAACGAAUCGUAAACAAAAACAGAGUGGCGUCAGAUUUUAUCAGUGGUAGGGUUUCUCUUUAAUCUUUGGUUAAAAACAAAAAAAAGAGCCAUUUCUCCUGAUAGCACUAGACUCGCACGUUUGUUUUGGUAUUUACCCAGAAUGCCCUGCAGUCUCCGGCUUUUGGCGAACUAAUGUUUGCAUCAGAGUUUGAUUCACAAAUCCCCAAACAAACCAGUCUGAUUAAAGUGGACUAAACAGGGUCGGUGUGAAUGCACCCUAAAAGCCACAUCCCACGUUUACAUAUGCUGUAAGCUGAUAUUUCUUGUGCUGUGAACCAGUAUAAGAAACAUAUUUUGAGGAGAUAAGAUUAGAACAGUAAUUAAACCCGCAGCUUAUGUUGGCAGAUGUUAACAGACUCGUCUAAAAAAAAAAAAAAGAUUCAACUUAAUUUGGGACAUCUAAGCCAAAGGCACACAGCUAUGAGUCAGACAGGUGAAUAAAAACGUAGGCAAA